rnacentral:rRNA from 1 species
CGGAGGGUGCAAGCGUUAUCCGGAUUCACUGGGUUUAAAGGGUGCGUAGGUGGGCAAGUAAGUCAGUGGUGAAAUCUCCGGGCUUAACCCGGAAACUGCCAUUGAUACUAUUUGUCUUGAAUACUGUGGAGGUCAGCGGAAUAUGUCAUGUAGCGGUGAAAUGCUUAGAUAUGACAUAGAACACCAAUUGCGAGGCAGCUGGCUACACAAAUAUUGACACUGAGGCACGAAAGCGUGGGGAUCAAACAGGAUUAGAUACCCUGGUAGUCCACGCCCUAAACUAUGGAUACUCGACAUUUGCGAUAAACUGCAAGUGUCUGAGCGAAAGCAUUAAGUAUCCCACCUGGGAAGUACGAUCGCAAGAUUG